AUGUCUCUCUCUCUGUCUCUCUCUCCUGUCUGUCUCAAUCGGUCUCUCUCAAUCUGUCUCUAUCUCUCUCUCCUGUCUGUCUCAAUCUGUCUCUAUCUCUCUCUCCUGUCUGCUUCUCUCUCCUGUCUGCUUCUCUCUCCUGUCUGCUUCUCUCUCCUGUCUGCCUCUCUCUCCUGUCUGCCUCUCUCUCCUGUCUGCCUCUCUCUCCUGUCUGCCUCUCUAUUACUCCUGUCUGUCUAUCUUUCUCUUCUAUCUGUCUCUCUCUCUCUGUCAUGUCAUCUAGUAAUUGCCAGAUACAUAAAUGUUGGCAGCUGGAGGUGGAAGUUGAAGACUGUAUGCAGAAUAACUAUCAACGACAGAGCCCUCUCCUGGUAUCAACGACAGAGCCCUCUCCUGGUAUCAACGACAGAGCCCUCUCCUGGUAUCAACGACAGAGCUCUCUCCUGGUAUCAACGACAGAGCUCUCUCCUGGUAUCAACGACAGAGCCCUCUCCUGGUAUCAACGACAGAGCUCUCUCCUGGUAUCAACGACAGAGCUCUCUCCUGGUAUCAACGACAGAGCCCUCUCCUGGUAUCAACGACAGAGCUCUCUCCUGGUAUCAACGACAGAGCCCUCUCCUGGUAUCAACGACAGAGCUCUCUCCUGGUAUCAACAACAGAGCCCUCUCCUGGUAUCAACGACAGAGCUCUCUCCUGGUAUCAACGACAGAGCCCUCUCCUGGUAUCAACGACAGAGCCCUCUCCUGGUAUCAACGACAGAGCCCUCUCCUGGUAUCAACGACAGAGCUCUCUCCUGGUAUCAACGACAGAAUCCUCUCCUGGUAUCAACGACAGAGCCCUCUCCUGGUAUCAACGACAGAAUCCUCUCCUGGUAAGGAGAAUAACUAUCAACGACAGAGCCCUCUCCUGGUAUCAACGACAGAAUCCUCUCCUGGUAAGGAGAAUAACUAUCGACGACAGAGCUCUCUCCUGGUAUCAACGACAGAGCCCUCUCCUGGUAUCAACGACAGAGCCCUCUCCUGGUAUCAACGACAGAGGUCUCUCCUGGUAAGGAGAAUAACUAUCAACGACAGAGCUCUCUCCUGGUAUCAACGACAGAGCUCUCUCCUGGUAUCAACGACAGAGUCCUCUCCUGGUAUCAACGACAGAGCUCUCUCCUGGUAUCAACAACAGAGCUCUCUCCUGGUAUCAACGACAGAGCUCUCUCCUGGUAUCAACGACAGAGCUCUCUCCUGGUAA
rnacentral:lncRNA from 8 species